CAAAAAUACAAUCAAUACUAAAAAAGCGAGAAUUAGUGAUGACAUUUAAACCACUUAGGUGUAUGGCUCCAGAAUUAUAUUUAACACAGAUGUUUCAUAAGACGAUUUAAACGAAGCUUCUCCUACAGAGGAGCAGUUUCAUGGAAAAAAAAUAAAUAAUAAUAAUUAUUAUUAUUAUUAUUAUUAUUAUUAUUAUUAUAAUUAUUAUUGUUUUUAUUAUUAUUAUUUUUUUCCAAAUUUUAAUGGAAAAACUUCCUAUAGUAAAAAUACCUGAAUAUAAAAAUACUUGAAUAUAAUUUUAUCGGUUCUUUCAUGAGGCUAAUCAAUAGCUUGUGUUUUUGAAUUGGGAGGUCAUCCUGCCUUAUGUAAAUAGUGUAUAUUAUGUAAUGUCACUGAAAGGAAGGCUGGUCGCGCCGGGUUGGGGAAAUUUUCAAGAUUUUCAAAAAAAAAGUUUAAUUAAAAUAGUUUUAAAAAAGUUUAAAAAAGCAAAAAAAGUUUAAAAAGUUAGAUUUUCAAAAAAGUUUAAAAAGUUAGAUUAGGGUUAGGGUUAGUGGUUAGGGGUAAGGGUUGGGUUAGGGGUUAGGUGCCGCGAAUUUAUCAUUAUGCCAGAUAAAUUCAAAUUCAAAAUGUGCUGCGAACUUAUCAUAAUGAUAAAUUCGGACGUGUUUAAGAAUUUACUCAUAUAGUAAAUUUAAAAGGUGGAGCUCACGCAGAACUUCUCGAUAAUUACAUCAUGAAUACGUUCUUGGAAUGGGAGCCCUCGCUCCCAUGGAUCAAGACAGAAGGCGAUUGGCUCAGGACUCAUGAACGUAUUCAUGACGUAUAAUUAUCGAAAAAGUGUAUUGUUAUAUUUUGCUAAUCACUUAUACGUCUAAUAUUUAUGCUAAUCACGAUCAAGCGAUUUUAAAUUCCCAAUGUGGUAUUGAUAUGCAUGUUCACAAGCAACUUUCUGCAACGUUUAAUAAAAAGUUUUAAAAUUCAGUACAUUCUGCCGGGUUUACUUCUCAAUUGGGUUAGACGGGCGAAUACUGGUGGAACUCAUAGGAAUUCGUAAAUUAUAUAUCGCUUUGUAACGCAAAACCAAAACGGUUAUCGUGGAACGUAGCAAUCAUAACUACAGCG